GCAAUGUUUACACUGGCUGACGCUAUUUGCCUUAGAUCUCAGAAAUGCCGUGAAGCAACCUUUAUCUUGUGCGAUUCUUGCUGGAAGAUAAUAGAAUGUGAGUACAAAAACUCUUUUUUGGCCACGUCCUUACAUCCUAUUAUCAUCAAACGCACACGUACGCAAACCCUGCUUGAUGAGACACACACACUUCUGUCAACACUCCCUGGGGCAGUACUGUUAAUUCCUCCCAGCCUAUUCUCAGUCACACAUGGCCAUGGAGGCGGUCGGCGGCAGAGCCUCACUGCUAGAUUAACCUUUGCUCUCGCCACGGAUCUGUUUUCCGCGAAGCCGGCGCUGGGAUGAGGGGCCUUGGCUGGCAGAGAGAUGUGGACACAGGGCGGAGGUGUCUACGAGCGCCCGCAACCCACCCCCACAAGGCUGCCACCCCCACUCAUCCCUUAUGCGCACAUGGAUGCACGCGGGCGAGAGUUCAGAAAAUGCCCUGCGGCCUCACUACUAGCCAGGCAGUGAAACACUUUUGGACGUCCACCUGUGAUGAAUCCACAUCCAGAAGCUCGGCUUGACUGGUAUUUUUCAUAAAUAAUGGCCCAAGGCCAGUGCUGAUGGCGACAUGCAAAAUGUCAA